rnacentral:misc_RNA from 1 species
GUAUUUGUUUUUAAAGGCACAAGGCCAAUGACGACAUUCAAAAUACAUUCAUGUGGUGUAUGUAGAAACAUAGACCUGAAUACAAGAAAAGCUGUUUGCACAGCAAUUCUCAAACCGAGUUUCCUCGAGAGUAUCAGAUCUACGCAAGGUGCACAGGUGGUUAAAAAUGGAGUCGGUGUGCACAUGCUCCUAAGAGCCAGCAACAACCUAACCAAGUUUAUUCAAUAAUGAUCCUUCCGCAGGUUCACCUACGGAAA